UGGGGAAUAUUGCACAAUGGAGGAAACUCUGAUGCAGCGACGCCGCGUGAAGGAAGAAGGUCUUCGGAUUGUAAACUUCUGUUGUCAGGGACGAUAAUGACGGUACCUGACGAGAAAGCCACGGCUAACUACGUGCCAGCAGCCGCGGUAAAACGUAGGUGGCAAGCGUUGUCCGGAAUUACUGGGUGUAAAGGGAGCGCAGGCGGAUUGGUAAGUUGGAGGUGAAAUUCAUGGGCUCAACCCAUGACCUGCCUUCAAAACUACCAGUCUUGAGUGGUGCAGAGGUAGGCGGAAUUCCCGGUGUAGCGGUGGAAUGCGUAGAUAUCGGGAGGAACACCAGUGGCGAAGGCGGCCUACUGGGCACUAACUGACGCUGAGGCUCGAAAGCGUGGGUAGCAAACA
rnacentral:rRNA from 1 species